UACGUAGGGGGCAAGCGUUGUCCGGAAUCAUUGGGCGUAAAGCGCGUGCAGGCGGCUCGGUAAGUCUGCUGUGAAAGUCCAGGGCUCAACCCUGGGAUGCCGGUGGAUACUGUCGAGCUCGAGUCCGGAAGAGGCGAGUGGAAUUCCUGGUGUAGCGGUGAAAUGCGCAGAUAUCAGGAGGAACACCAAUGGCGAAGGCAGCUCGCUGGGACGUGACUGACGCUGAGACGCGAAAGCGUGGGGAGCAAACAGG
rnacentral:rRNA from 1 species